GCGGGGUGAGGAAGGGAGAGGGUGGGCCUCCCCGGAGGCGGUCGGCGCUUGCCUAGCUGCCGGGAGGAGGGUUCUGAGCUCCCGAGGUGUGUUGCGCGUUUUCCGAGGCCCGGGCUGCUAGCCGUAAGCGGGUCCCGGGAGCCUCGCGUGUCGUGGGACCCGGGCUGUGGGCGCGCGCGCGCGCGCGCGGGCGGCGUCCUGACUCCGCCGCCACCUCCGGCCUCAGGUAUUUCCUUCGUUUCCCGAGGGCGGCUGAGCUGUGUCCGGGCUAGGGCCCUUCUGAGCUCUGGCCCUGCUGAAGAAGAGCGGUCAGGCACAAACAGCGUCACCGAAAGUUCAGCUUGGUACUUGUUCUGGAGGCCGGAGCAAAAAGAAGAAUCAAGAAGUUUUGCAGAAGAAGGAAAGGGCAGUUUAUCGCUUUGCGGGCAAAGGUGGAAAAAUGGCAGACUGUCCGUCUCAAAAUGCCCAUCUUUCCUGGACAGACAGAGUCUCGCUUUGUCGCCCUGGGUAGAGUGCCGUGGCGUCACAUCUCACAGCAAACUCCAGCUCUUGGGCUUAGGCGAUUCUCUUGCCUCAGCCUCCCGAGUUGGCUGGGACUACAGGCAGCACGAGGACAAGGGUGUCACCAGUAUUAGCACCUGGUGGUCUGUAUCAGCACUGGCCCCAGCACCAGCAGUUGGCGGCCACAGUAAGGAGGCACUUCCUGAAAUGGAGCAAAAAACCAGCUUACAGGUGGAGGAGAAAGGUCCAGACCCAGUAAAGCCAUGGCUCCAAGUGCAGUGGCCUCUGAAAGCUGACCACCCAAGGCACUACAACAAGCUGAUCAAGAUUCAGAGGUGGUCACCACCAAGGCUCUGCUGCACUCACUGUGCCCCACAUGGGAGCAACCUGGCAACAAAGACUGCGGGGGAGACAUGGAUUAGCCCAGCAUGGGCAGGAAGCAGCAUCCCAUCAAAUCAGGAAGAAAAGCACAUUAUUAAAGCCAGUGCUGGCUGGGCGGUGCCUGUGGCUCAGUGAGUAGGGCGCAGGUCCCAUAUAGUGAGGGUGGAGGGUUCGAACCUGGCCCCAGACAAACUGCAACAAAAAAUAGCCGGGCGUUGUGGCAGGCGCCUGUAGUCCCAGCUACUCGGGAGGCUGAGGCAAGAAAACGGCUAAGCCCGAGAGCUGGAGGUUGCUAUGAGCUGUAAUGCCAUGGCACUCUAUCAAGGGUGACAAAGUGAGACUGUGUCUCUAAAAAACAAACAGGGUGGCGCCUGUGGCUCAACAGAGUAAGGCGCUGGCCCCAUAUGCUGGAGGUGGCGGGUUCAAACCCAGCCCUGGCCAAAAACUGCAAAAAACAAACAAACAAACAAAAAACAGUGCUGGCUAGCACCUAUAUCUCAGCGGCUAGCGUGCCAGCCACAUACACCAGAGCUGGCAGGUUUGAAUCCAGCCCUGGCCUGGCAAACAACAAUGACAACAACAAAUAGCUGUGUUUUAUGGUGGGCACCUGUAGUCCCAGGUACUUGGGAGGCAGAGGCAAGAGAAUCGCCUAAGCCCAAGAGUUUGAGAUUGCUGAGAGUUAUGACACCACAGCACUCUACCGAGGGCGACACAGCCCACCAGAAUCCUCAGGCCAGCAGUGGAGUUUCCCACUCCCUGUGGCCAACAUAAAAGCUGUCUCAAAUUGUGCUCAGUGCAGAUGCUGUCUUUAGCUCUGCCCAAGUGGGUUUCUUUUGUUUUCAUUGAACCUGGCAUAAACCUCUC